rnacentral:rRNA from 1 species
CCUGAGAAACCCAAAAGAUCGAAUGGGGAGAUUCAUCGUCAGCGACUGUGGCAAGUGUGCGGUUCGCGAUAUUGCGAGACUCCGGUCUCGCGGUACGCGUCCGCAUGUUUUGAGUGUCAGGGUCGUCGGCGUGCACUUCUCCCCUAGUAGGACGUCGCGACCCGUUGGGUGUCGGUCUACGGCCCGGGUGGGCGCCUGUUCCUAAUACCCCGGUAUUAGGGACAGACCCCCGGUCGCCUGGCCGACUGCUCGGCGGUACUCGCACGGUAUCAGGCCGCAAUUUGAACUGCGUCUGGCCCGCCGCAAGCGAGAUCAGUGAUACUCGGAUGUACGGACCUAGUGCCGUCACCGAGCCUGAUCAGCUGUUGGUCGGCGGUGUCCUGAGACAGGCCUUUGAACGUAUGAUACCGGUCGGCGACGCUAUUGCUUUGGGUACUUUCAGGACCCGUCUUGAAACACGGACCAAGGAGUCUAACAUGUGCGCGAGUCAUUGGGAACUCUUAAGCCUAAAGGCGCAAUGAAAGUGAAGGUCGGCCUCGCGCCGACCGAGGGAGGAUGGACCGCGUUACGAUKCGGUCCCGCACUCCCGGGGCGCUCGU